rnacentral:pre_miRNA from 2 species
UUUUAUGGAUGAGGAAAGAAAGUGGUUUUUUGAAAGAGAAUCUACUCCUGGUGAAGAUGCUAUGAA